rnacentral:rRNA from 1 species
AACGAACGCUGGCGGCAUGCCUAACACAUGCAAGUCGAACGAGACCUUCGGGUCUAGUGGCGCACGGGUGCGUAACGCGUGGGAAUCUGCCCUGGGGUGCGGAAUAACUCGGAGAAAUCCGUGCUAAUACCGCAUAAUGUCUUCGGACCAAAGAUUUAUCGCCCUGGGAUGAGCCCGCGUAGGAUUAGCUAGUUGGUGGGUAAAGGCCUACCAAGGCGACGAUCCUUAGCUGGUCUGAGAGGAUGAUCAGCCACACUGGGACUGAGACACGGCCCAGACUCCUACGGGAGGCAGCAGUGGGGAAUAUUGGACAAUGGGCGAAAGCCUGAUCCAGCAAUGCCGCGUGAGUGAUGAAGGCCCUAGGGUUGUAAAGCUCUUUUACCCGGGAUGAUAAUGACAGUACCGGAGAAUAAGCUCCGGCUAACUCCGUGCCAGCAGCCGCGGUAA